AGUGAACGCUGGCGGUAGGCCUAACACAUGCAAGUCGAACGGCAGCACAGUAAGAGCUUGCUCUUACGGGUGGCGAGUGGCGGACGGGUGAGGAAUACAUCGGAAUCUACUUUUUCGUGGGGGAUAACGUAGGGAAACUUACGCUAAUACCGCAUACGACCUACGGGUGAAAGCAGGGGAUCUUCGGACCUUGCGCGAUUGAAUGAGCCGAUGUCGGAUUAGCUAGUUGGCGGGGUAAAGGCCCACCAAGGCGACGAUCCGUAGCUGGACUGAGAGGAUGAUCAGCCACACUGGAACUGAGAGACGGUCCAGACUCCUGCGGGAGGCAGAAGUGGGGAAUAUUGGACGAUGGGCGCAAGCCUGAUCCAGCCAUACCGCGUGGGUGAAGAAGGUCUUCGGGUUGUAAAGGCCUUUUGUUGGGAAAGAAAAGCAGCAGGUUAAUACCCCGCUGUUCUGACGGUACCCAAAGAAUAAGCACCGGCUAACUUCGUGC
rnacentral:rRNA from 1 species